rnacentral:rRNA from 1 species
UACAGAGGUCUCGAGCGUUAGGCGGAAUCACUGGGCUUAAAGCGUGUGUAGGUGGAUGGGUAAGUACCUUGUGAAAUCCCACGGCUCAACCGUGGAACUGCUUGGUAUACUGCUUGUCUUGAGUCACUCAGGGGCGAGCGGAACAGAUGGUGGAGCGGUGAAAUGCGUAGAUAUCAUCUGGAACGCCAAUGGUGAAGACAGCUCGCUGGGGGUGUACUGACACUGAGACACGAAAGCCAGGGGAGCAAACGGG